CAAUUGUUUUGGCUAUGCUAGGUCUUUUGCUCAGAUUUUAGAAAGAACAUUCAAAUUUUUACAAAAAGCCUUAUAGAACUUUUAUAUGGAUUGCAUCUAAUCUAUAGAAUAAUAUAAGAAAAAUCAAUCUUAAAUUAUUGGAUUCUUCAGUCUAUGAAAACAUUAAAUCUCUCAUUGGAGAAGGUCAUUAAGAAAAUGUGACUGUGGGUUGAUCCUUGAGAUAAACUUUGGCAAUCCGAAUCUCUUCACCUCCUCUUCUGUCCUUGGAAUAUCCACUCUGCCCACCAUUUCUAUCUUGGGAGCCAUUUUCAAGGACUCAGUCUUGAGAGUGUAAGCUGUUAUUAAGACUGUCUGAUGGUACACAUGGGGCUUCCUUGGUGGCUCAGUGGUAAAGAAUCUGCCUGCUAAUACAGGAGAUGUAGGAGAUAAGGGUUUGAUCCCUGGGUUGGGAAGAACCCUGGAGAAGGAAAUGGAACCCACUCCAGUAUUCUUGCCUGGGAAAUUCCAUGAAGAGAGGAGCCUGGGAGGCUAUAUAGUCCCUGUAGUCACAAAGAGUCAGACAUGCCUGAGUGACUGAGCACGCAAGCACAAUGGUACUCGUGACUGAAGCCCGUUCCAUCUCUCAGCUGUACAGUUUGAGUUCACCAUUCCCAGAAAAGAGCCAGGGUUUGGCUCAUUGUGUAUAUUUCUCUAAUCUCCAUCCUGGAAUGUGAAGUCAAGUGGGCCUUAGAAAGCAUCACUACGAACAAAGCUAGUGGAGGUGAUGGAAUUCCAGUGGAGCUAUUUCAAAUCCUGAAAGAUGAUGCUGUGAAAGUGCUGCAUUCAAUAUGCCAACAAAUUUGGAAAACUCAGCAGUGGCCACAGGACUGGAAAAGG
ensembl:lncRNA